GACGAACGCUGGCGGCGUGCCUAAUACAUGCAAGUCGAACGCUUUUUCUUUCACCGAGACUUGUCUCACCGAAAGAAAAAGAGUGGCGAACGGGUGAGUAACACGUGGGUAACCUGCCCUCGAGAAGGGGAUAACACUUGGAAACAGGUGCUAAUACCGUAUAACAAUAACUGCCGCAUGGCAGGUAUUUGAAAGGCGCUUUUGCGUCACUCGAGGAUGGACCCGCGGUGCAUUAGCUAGUUGGUGAGGUAACGGCUCACCAAGGCGACGAUGCAUAGCCGACCUGAGAGGGUGAUCGGCCACACUGGGACUGAGACACGGCCCAGACUCCUACGGGAGGCAGCAGUAGGGAAUCUUCGGCAAUGGACGAAAGUCUGACCGAGCAACGCCGCGUGAGUGAAGAAGGUUUUCGGAUCGUAAAACUCUGUUGUUAGAGAAGAACAAGGAUGAGAGUAGAACGUUCAUCCCUUGACGGUAUCUAACCAGAAAGCCACGGCUAACUACGUGCCAGCAGCUGCGGUAAUGCGUAGGUGGCAAGCGUUGUCCGGAUUUAUUGGGCGUAAAGCGAGCGCAGGCGGUUCUUUAAGUCUGAUGUGAAAGCCCCCGGCUCAACCGGGGAGGGUCAUUGGAAACUGGAGAACUUGAGUGCAGAAGAGGAGAGUGGAAUUCCAUGUGUAGCGGUGAAAUGCGUAGAUAUAUGGAGGAACACCAGUGGCGAAGGCGGCUCUCUGGUCUGUAACUGACGCUGAGGCUCGAAAGCGUGGGGAGCAAACAGG
rnacentral:rRNA from 1 species